rnacentral:rRNA from 1 species
GUGCAGCAGGCGAGAAUUUUUCUCAAUGGGGGAAACCCUGAAGGAGCGACGCCGCGUGGAGAAUGAAGGUCUUCGGGUUGUAAACUCCUGUCAUUUGGGAACAAGGUGUGCGCGUUAACUGCGCGCGCAUUGAUAGUACCAGAAGAGGAAGAGACGGCUAACUCUGUGCCAGCAGCCGCGGUAAUACAGAGGUCUCAAGCGUUGUUCGGAUUCAUUGGGCGUAAAGGGUGCGUAGGCGGCGCGGUAAGUCGGGUGUGAAAUUUCGAGGCUUAACUUCGAAACUGCAUUCGAUACUGCCGUGCUUGAGGACUGGAGAGGAGACUGGAAUUUACGGUGUAGCGGUGAAAUGCGUAGAUAUCGUAAGGAAGACCAGUGGCGAAGGCGGGUCUCUGGACAGUUCCUGACGCUGAGGCACGAAGGCCAGGGGAGCAAACGGGAUUAGAUACCCGCGUAGU